GCAGACCAAAUCUGCCUUUUAGAGGAAAAGGUGUCACUGGAUUGCAGAGGGAAAGCUUGUGUAGCAGCUGGGUGCUCUCACCUGAUAGCACCGAGAGCUGCCACACAGCUUGUUAUGGGCUUUUCAUUUAAGGAGAAAAAUAUUGCCCAGAUCAACCGAGUAGUUCUGGACCUGUAUUUUGUAUUCCAAAGGCAAAGGGAUUCACCAAGACACACAGCAAAUGCAGUGCUGGGGCUGGAGCACAGAGGCACAGAUGAAGGAGAGAGAUGGAGAAUGAUUUGUCUUGCCAAAGCUUCACAAACAAGUGAAUGUCACAGGUAUGGUCUUAACUCAGGAGAUCCUGGACUCCUCGUGUCUUGUGGACAGCCUCAUACUCUGCUGCGUGCUGGCACAUGUUGCAAGCUACAAGAUAAUGCUUCAGAAAGAGAAAACAAAUAAACAAAAGCAGCUGGAAAUUCCUUCCUGACCCCCUUGCCCUACAGAUAUGUGCUUUGACCCCAGGUUUCUUCCUUCACAGAGAAAAUCUACAAUAGGCUCUGGUAAGUCCUGCUACAUAUACUUUCUUCUUCCACAUCAAGCAGAUUCGAACUCAUUAUGCAUUGUAUUUUGGGUUAUCUGGGAUUGUACUUCCUCUCAAGUGUCUGUGGUAAAUAAUAAAACUUUCUUCAGACAGGAAGGCA
rnacentral:lncRNA from 1 species